rnacentral:rRNA from 1 species
UACGUAGGGUCCGAGCGUUGUCCGGAAUUACUGGGCGUAAAGAGCUCGUAGGUGGUUUGUCGCGUUGUUCGUGAAAACUCACAGCUUAACUGUGGGCGUGCGGGCGAUACGGGCAGACUGGAGUACUGCAGGGGAGACUGGAAUUCCUGGUGUAGCGGUGGAAUGCGCAGAUAUCAGGAGGAACACCGGUGGCGAAGGCGGGUCUCUGGGCAGUAACUGACGCUGGAGGAGCGAAAGCCGUGG